CAACUCGACUACAUGAAGCUGGAAUCGCUAGUAAUCGCGAAUCAGAAUGUCGCGGUGAAUACGUUCCCGGGUCUUGUACACACCGCCCGUCACACCAUGGGAGUCAGUAACGCCCGAAGUCAGUGACCCAACCUUAUGGAGGGAGCUGCCGAAGGCGGGACCGAUAACUGGGGUGAAGUCGUAACAAGGUACC
rnacentral:rRNA from 1 species